rnacentral:rRNA from 1 species
AUACGAAGGGCCCGAGCGUUGCGCGGAAUCAUUGGGCUUAAAGGGUGCGUAGGCGGACCUGCAAGUACUUUGUGAAAGCCCACGGCUUAACCGUGGAACUGCUUGGUAGACUGCAGGUCUCGAGCUCGGCAGAGGCGGUCGGAACUCUAGGUGGAGCGGUGAAAUGCGUAGAUAUCUAGAGGAACGCCAAAGGUGAAGACAGACCGCUGGGCCGAUGCUGACGCUGAGGCACGAAAGCGUGGGUAGCGAACGGGAUUAGAAACCCCAGUAGUCC